rnacentral:lncRNA from 1 species
UGCUGCUGCUCAUCCUUCACAAACCUUCACCGCUGGAAUCUCGUCCCCGCUGCUGCUGCUGCUCAUCCUUCACGAAUCUGAUUUGCCACCGCUGCUCAUCGCCGACUUUCGUCCCCGCUGCCACUGUCACCUACCGCUGUCACCUACUAUCAACUGUUGCUGCUGUCACGGUGCUCCCCUGCUGCCAUCUGACUACUGUUGUGAGUUGCUGCUGGUAACUUGAGCUGCUUGAGCUUGAGCUGUUUUUGCAGAGAACUUGAGUUGCUGCUGGCGUGAAAAGGGGAGAUUUUCUUCGGUGCAACCAUAAUUAAAGUGAUUGUGUGAGAGUGGGAAGGGAUUUUAAUUGUUUUCCACACAUAAAAUAAAGUGAGAUUUGAGAGUGGGAAGGGAAGAGCCUUUUAAUUUUUCUUGUACGCAAGAAUACACAAAAAUAAUGUGAGGCUGGCGAUUUCAGGCCUCUCAUUUUUUUCUUCUUUCAAUUCCUCAGUAACACCUCAUCGUAAUCUUGAUUGACCCCAGCGCUCUUUUAUUUGCCAUCUAACUCGAUUUGGAAGAUCGUCAUUGGAAAGAAUGGAAUGCCUUAUUUGGACUCUUGUUGAUGGGUUAUUGUCUUCUGUGACAAGGUCCAGAAUAUUUAAGUGGUUGAGAACGUUAAUUCUGUUAUAUUAGAAAAACAAAUGAGCUACUUUCCAUCUACAUGCAAUCUCUAAAUUGUCGACAGUUUUUGUUGUUCAAAACUCACUCAAUUAUGUUGAUUUAAUCCAAUAUAUGAUAAAUAACAAAUUAAGUUUUAUAAUUAUCCAUUCUUUAGUUAAGUUAAUUGUAGAUAGUUGUUGUGAAACAAUUGUUUGGCUAAAUUUAUUAGCAACAAAAAUCAAAUACGUAUUCAUUAUGUUGAAUUAAUAAACAAUUAUACUUCCC